GUUAGGCAUGGUGGCAUAAGCCUGUACUCCCAGUUACUUGGGAGGCUGAGACAAGAGGAUUGCUUGAGCCUAGAAAUUCAAGUCUAGCCUGAGCAACAUAGAGAGACCCCAUCUCAA
rnacentral:sRNA from 1 species